rnacentral:rRNA from 1 species
GAUGAACGCUGGCGGCGUGCCUAAUACAUGCAAGUCGAGCGAACAGACGAGGAGCUUGCUCCUCUGACGUUAGCGGCGGACGGGUGAGUAACACGUGGAUAACCUACCUAUAAGACUGGGAUAACUUCGGGAAACCGGAGCUAAUACCGGAUAAUAUAUUGAACCGCAUGGUUCAAUAGUGAAAGACGGUUUUGCUGUCACUUAUAGAUGGAUCCGCACCGCAUUAGCUAGUUGGUGAGGUAACGGCUUACCAAGGCAACGAUGCGUAGCCGACCUGAGAGGGUGAUCGGCCACACUGGAACUGAGACACGGUCCAGACUCCUACGGGAGGCAGCAGUAGGGAAUCUUCCGCAAUGGGCGAAAGCCUGACGGAGCAACGCCGCGUGAGUGAUGAAGGUCUUCGGAUCGUAAAACUCUGUUAUUAGGGAAGAACAAAUGUGUAAGUAACUAUGCACGUCUUGACGGUACCUAAUCAGAAAGCCACGGCUAACUACGUG